UACUCAACCACCAACUGCGGAGAGGUUACCCUGUGCCAGGCACUGCAGAUGUGAAAAUAGACCAGGCCUGCUCUCAAGGAGCCCCGAGGUCUCUGCUGAAGUGCAAAAGAGGGACACAGUUUUGAUCCUGUGUGCACUGUUUAAAACGAAGUAAAAACAACUUCGAAAACAAUCGCAGACCAGUGGAAGAGACAAAGGUGACGGUGAUGACAAGCACCUUUCUUAGUUCCUUCCUGCCAGAGGACUGAUACCUACCCCAGUGAUGAAUCUAAAGCAAGCUGUUUGAAGGAAUUAUGCAAAUAUCACAAUGGAGUAAAUGAUGAGGGGCCAACCUCUCCUUGAUCUUCAUCUGCUUUGUCCCAUGGUGGCCUCCUAUUCCAGU